GGCUCUGUGGUCUAGUGGCAUGAUUCUUCAUUAGGGUUGAAGAGGUCCCGGUUUCGAUCACCGGCAGAGCCC